CCAAUAGCGUAUAUUAAGGUUGCUGCGGUUAAAAAGCUCGUAGUUGAAUUUCGGGAUUGAUGCAUCGGUCGUGCCUUAAGGGGUGUGAAUUGGUGUAGCCAAUUUCUUACCUUCUGGUGAAUUGUGAUGCCCUCAUUAAUUGGGUGUUUCAAUGACUAGGACUUUUUACUUUGAAAAAAUUAGAGUGUUUAAAGCAGGCAUUAUUUGCUUGAAUACAUUAGCAUGGAAUAAUAAAAUAGGACAAUGAUUCUAUUUUGUUGGUUUCUAGGAUCACUGUAAUGAUUAAUAGGGAUAGUUGGGGGCAUUAGUAUUCAAUUGUCAGAGGUGAAAUUCUUGGAUUAAUUGAAGACUAACUACUGCGAAAGCAUUUGCCAAGGAUAUUUUCAUUAAUCAAGAACGAAAGUUAGGGGAUCGAAGACGAUUAGGUACGUCGUAGUCUUAACCAUAAACUAUGCCGACUAGGAAUCAGACAACGUUAAAUUUUUAACGACUUGUUUGGCACCUUACG
rnacentral:rRNA from 1 species